GAGGUUAUAGCUCAGUGGAAGAGUGCAUGCUUAGCAUGCACAAGGUCCUGGGUUCAAUCCACAGUAACUGCA
rnacentral:tRNA from 1 species